GUGGGGAAUAUUGGACAAUGGGGGGAACCCUGAUCCAGCCAUGCCGCGUGUGUGAAGAAGGCCUUUUGGUUGUAAAGCACUUUAAGAGAGGAGGAGGCUACCGAGAUUAAUACUCUUGGAUAGUGGACGUUACUCGCAGAAUAAGCACCGGCUAACUCUGUGCCAGCAGCCGCGGUAAUACAGAGGGUGCAAGCGUUAAUCGGAUUUACUGGGCGUAAAGCGCGCGUAGGUGGCCAAUUAAGUCAAAUGUGAAAUCCCCGAGCUUAACUUGGGAAUUGCAUUCGAUACUGGUUGGCUAGAGUAUGGGAGAGGAUGGUAGAAUUCCAGGUGUAGCGGUGAAAUGCGUAGAGAUCUGGAGGAAUACCGAUGGCGAAGGCAGCCAUCUGGCCUAAUACCGACACUGAGGUGCGAAAGCAUGGGGAGCAAACAGGAUUAGAUACCCGAGUAGUCC
rnacentral:rRNA from 1 species